rnacentral:lncRNA from 1 species
CUCCCGGCUGCGCGCACGUGAGCGUGCACUACGCUGGUUUCUAAAUUUAGUUCCGGCGGCUUCCCUGGGGUCGCCUGAGGUAAACGCGGGCAAGGGGUUGCGGCGGGCGAGAGAAGCAGUUCUUGUUGUCCCUUCUUGUCUCUCCGUGGGUCCUCCUUCAGGACGGGGGUCCGGCGGGGACUCGUGGUGCUGGAAGGGGGCGUUUCCCGAGGCGCGAACCGAGGGGGUCCCGUCCGCGUGUCAGCCCAGCCCCUCGCGCGGCCUUGCCCUGAAUAGGCGCCAUUGAACCGAGGUUUCUUCUUGGAGGACCACUUGGGGCAGCAUUUGGGGGGCGGCGUGGGUCGAAAUCACUAGGGGAGCGGGACUUGGGUCGGAGGGAGUCCAGUGGGCGGUCGAUGGCCGACGUGGAGGGGGAGGUCGUGACACUGGACCUCAGAGAACAUGCUCCCGAGGCUGAGGUGGCGUGGCUUCGGGAGCGAUAUCGCUUCCGCGCGGUGAAAGAGGGCCUUCCAGCCUCGGGCCAAGCACAGGGAGGGACCUGAAGGUCACUGGGUGAGGGGCCAGCGCAGGUGCCACAAACCCAGGGCAGAGCCUAACGCAUACCAGGGUGACCUUCCAGGAGCCAAAUGAAAGCUUCGUGUUUUUUUGUUUUUUUUUUUUUAAUUUUUGUUCCAAGAAAUUGGUGCCAAACAACUUUUGAAAUCCACAUUCUCCACUUCUUUGGGUGGCAGGACAGAAGUUCUGGAAAUAAGCCCUGUUAGCGUAAAAUGAGCUACAGUUUUGACUUUGAAGAGUGGUCUGACUUGUCACAGUGACCUCACUUCUGUUGUUAGGGUGGUAUCCUCAGGUUUCGACUUCAUUAGGUGGUGUUGGAAAGUCCAAGACAACGAUAAACCCCGAAUAUUAAAUGUUAAUGUGGGACAAUUUCUAAUGGUUGGGUUGUUAAGUUUCUUUCUCUCUCUCUCUUUAAGGAAACUGAUAAGUUAGAUGUGGAGUAAAGAUAGCCUUGGUCUUUUAUAUCCUGCAUUGUCUUCCUUAACUCAUUCAGCUCUUUAUUUGUAUCCUCUUUGAAUUCAUUGAUCAUUUUUAACAUUCUUUUGAAUGUUCUUUGACAUUUCAUCUACCUUAAUAUCUUUGGAAUCAGUUACUAGAGAGUUACGAACUUUUGGAGAGCCAUAUUACUUUGUUUUUUUCAUAUUUCUUUUAUUUGUUUUUUGAGAUUUGCCCAUUUGGGGGGGUAUAUAUAUAUCUUCUACUUUUCUGGGAGGGCCUUCUUGAGAAAUAGCCUUCUCUUAAUGAUGUACCCAGGGCUGUUAGUUUAUUGGUAAUGUUAAAUUUAAUUCCAGAUGGACUUAGUGUUAGUUUGCCUCUUGUUUCUGGAUGUGAUUGAUGAGUUUUGACACAAGUGUGUAGUGUGUUGGAGCCUGAGAAACCUGUAUCCUCUGGAGGUCUUAGAAGAGAGGGUUCUCUCUGGUAGUUUAGGCAGAUGUGUUGUAAUUGGUAAAUCUGUGGUUACGACUUCAGUCUUGUCAACUUAGUUCUGUCUGCAAGGUAUAGGAACAGCCUAUGCUGAGGUUCUUUGUGGUGUGGUUUCUGCCCCAGUUGUGCUACUUUUUUCUCAUGUUACUAUGGGAUCAGAUGUCAGGAGCAGAACUUCAGGACCCGGUCAGCCAUGUUUUUUUGAAAGUAGGUCCAUGGCAGUAGGAUUUUUUCUCCCCUAUUCUUAGAGUUGAAGUAUUCAGCAAGGUUUGAGUGGUACCAGAUUGUGGCUGAAGUAAAGUACACUUUUUCUUGCCUUGCUAAUGGAAAAGUACCCACUUAAUACAUGCAAGCUACCAGGCUUGAUCCAGACUCCACUCAAAAGGAAGAAAAACAUAAAAACAAACUAGAUAUGGAAAUAUAAUAAAAAUCAAUUAAACCACACUACCAAUAAUAAUAGAAAAGAAAGGGGGAAAUAUUAUAGAAUAAACUGAAAAUGGAAAUGUUAAUGAAAAUAAAAAAAAUAAAUGAGACAAUAGAAGAGGGGAGAGGAUCCUAUUAUGCUAUAAUAAAAAAGGUUAAAAAAUAAGGAAAAGGUACCAUUAAAAAUAAUAAUAGAUGGGGGAAAAAAAGCCAAGAAUUCCUUCUAGUUCAAAUGAUCUAAUUGGAAACACUUUCUGAGCAGGUAUACCCUCUUCCCAGAGCCCCUUAGUCUUUGUGCCCAGUACAUGGUCAUUGUCUGGGCCAUAGCCAUCCUUUCUCUCCAGCAAAGAUUUGGUGUUUUGUGGGGUUUGCCCAGGUGGGCAUAAAUUUAGCCCAGCUGACUACAGUCUGUUUACCUGAGGGUGUGGCAAGUAUUCAAUCCAGGAUGCCUCUAGGUGUGAGGGGAGAGAAUAAACCCUGCAAAAUCUGCAUGGGAGCAGGAGGCACUCCAGGAACUGUGCAUUUUACCACCCUCAGUCUGGAUGCAUUCAGGCCUGGGUCCUUCCUUCAUAACAAUACUUGAAAGUAGUCUUGCUUUUUAUAGAGGACACCAAUCACUGUGUUCUGCUGUCUGCCUCAGUCUGCUUCUUGCUACUCAAACCAUUCAGCAGGCUUGUGCCAGCUAUGGCUGGUGUCACACCCAGUCAGUGUGGCAGGGUGUUCACAGGGACCCUGAACUGUGAUUGCUUCAAGUUUUCUGCACCUCAGAGCAGUUUGGUCCCUAACAAUUGGAUCCUUCUUAUGAUGGCUUUUGGUUAAAGCACUCUUGAGAAUUGCUGAAUAUUGUAUUGACUUCUCUAAAACUAUCUUGCUAUGCAGGAGGGGAAACUCAGUUCAGAUACCCAAAUUGGAUUUAUUUAUUUGUAUUUUAUCCCAGAUUAUUUUUUUAUUCUUUUUAGAUAUACAUGACGAUAGGGUGUAUUUUGACCAUACAUACAUGGAGGAUAACUUCCCAUUCUUGAGGUUUUACAUGAUGUGGACUUAACACUGGUCAUGUAUUCAUAUUUGAACAUAGGAAAGUUAUGUCUGACUCAUUCUGCUGUCUUUUCUGUUCCCAUCCUCCCUUCCUUUCCUUCAUUCCCUUUUGUCUAAUCCAAUGAACUUCUAUCCCCCUCCACCCCUGCAUAAGUUUGUGUUACCAUUGGCAUAUCAGAGAGAACAUGCGGCCUUUGGUUUUUUUAGGAUUGGCUUAUUUCACUUAGCAUGACAGUCUCCAGUUCUGUCCAUCUACUGGCUGAUGCCAUAAUUUCAUUCUCAUUUAUGGCUGAGUAAUAUUCCAUUGUAUAUACAUACUACAUAUUCUUUAUACAUUCAUUUUUUGAAGGGCACUUAGGUUGGUUCCAUAGCUAUUGUGAAUUGAGCUGCUAUAAACAUUGAUGUGACUGCAUCACUAUAGUAUGCUGAUUUUAAAUCCUUGGAUAUAUACCAAGGAGUGGGAUAACUGGGUCCUGAACUGGAUCUAGAAUUUGUAUGAACUGUGGAUUUCUCUUUCAGUUAGAACUUCCAGUCUAAAGUUACAAUCAGGAUUGAUUGUACCCUCUGGCUUACCUUAUGUUUGUAGUGUCAUUCCCUCACUGGGGAGCCAAACCAUUGUGACCUGUGUUGUACUUUUCUCUACAUUCCCUUUCCAAUUCUCCAUGCUGUUUAGGUUUCCCCUUACUUCUUUAUUACUUCUCAGAGUUUUCCUUCUUUUUCAGAAUAUAGUAUUUGCUUUGUUGUUCUGACUUUUCUCACUUGGAGAGUUGUGAAAAGGAAACGUUUUAUCCACCAUCUUGUCUCUUCUCUUUUUUCACUGGAAGUAAAAAUUCCAGUACCUCUGACACUUCUACGGUUAAGACUGGUUGGUAAAUGGGUUGUUUGCAUUUGAAACAGAAUCAAUUUCUGCACAAUGAUACCUCCCUGCCUAUCCUGAAAUUGAAGGGUGCACAAUGAAGAGAUUGUACUUACCCUUUCUUAGAAGUUAUUGAUGUAAAGGGAGGGAGAUCUUUAUCAUAAAGCUUUAGUAGCCAGAGCUCUCAGCAAAAUGAAAUUGAAACUACUCUCAAUUUUAUAAAAGGCUAAUGACGGCAAAGUAUGUUGUCAUUUUUUGACACAUACCUUGAGAUUUAGUUUUGAAAAUAUAUAGUAUGUUAAAGUGGUUAAUAUUUUCAUUGAACUUAGUACCUCUACAAAAUCUUUUAUCAGAAGGUUUAUAUUUAUAUCCACCAAGUUUAAUUAAUUGAAUCAAGAAAGUAGAGGUGUAUAUUUAGAAAGUUUUUUUAAACAAGAUUUUAAUUAGUGUUUUAUUAAGCAUUCCAUCUAAAUUUUCCCAUAUAGAAAAUUGUGUGCGGUGAUAAAAAUUAGAAAUAGAUUUCUUGGAAAUAUGAAAAUAGAGGAAAAGAAAAAAUAAAGGACAUUUUCCCAUUGACCAGGGUAAUCUGCCAAUUCCUGUUCACAUUGAUAUUUUCCUCAUCAAGUAUACGUCUUUUUUUUUUUUUUUUUUUUUUUUAAACGAUACUAGGGAUUGAACCCAGGGCUGCUUGACCACUGGGUCAACAUCCCCAGCCCUUUUUAAAUUUUGAGAACAAGGUCUUGCUAAGUUACUGAGACUUUUUGAACCUACAGUCCUCCUGCCUCAGGGUCCUGAGUUGUUGGGAUUACCACCAGAGCCGCUAUACCUGGCCUCCAAGUAUUCAUCUUUAGGCCCAAUUUCACCUGGAUUCCCCCCCCCCCUCAAAAUAGAGCCUUAUAAUGAUAACAACAGUGUUCAUUUGUUGAGCACCAUGUAUCAGACCCUGUGCUCAAUGCUUUACAUAAUUAAUUUUUCUUUCUCAAUGUUAUAUCAUUUUAUAGGUUCAGGGAAGUUAACCGAGUUAGCUAAGGUCACACAGUUAUUAAGAAACAGCCAUGAGUGGACUGGGGUUGUGGCUCAGUUGGUAGAGCACUUGCCUAGCAUGUGUGAGGCCUUGGGUUCGAUCCUCAGCACCACAUAUGAAUAAGCAAAUAAAGUGAAAAAUCCACUGGCAACUAAAAAAUAUUAAAGAAAGAAACAGCCAUAAGCCGUGUGCAGUGUGCAUCAGCUUGUGAGGCUGAGACAGGAGGAUCGAAAAUUCUAAGCCAGCCUCAGCAAAAGCAAGGUGCCAAGCAACUCAAUGAGACCUUGUCUCUAAAAAAAUAUAUAAAAAAAUAGGGCUAGGGAUGUGGCUCAGUGGAUGAGUGCCCUUUAGUUAAUCCUGGUACCCCCCCCCUACAAAAAAAAAAAAAAAAGAAACAGCCAUGAUUUGUAUUAGAGUUCUCCAGAAAAAUACAACCAAUAGAAAAAAUAUAUGUGUGUGUACAUGAUUGAUUAUAAGAAAUUGACUCAUGCAAUUAUUGGAAACUGGCUAGUCUCAAGAUUUUCAGGGUGAGUCAGCAAGUUGGAGACCUGGGGAAGCUGAUGAUGUAGUGUGAGUCCAAAGGUAUAAAAAAAGUAUGUCCUAGUUGAAAGGCAGAUAGGAAGAAAGAAGAAAUCUCUUUUACCGUGGAGAUGGUCCAUCUUUUUUUUUAGUCAGGUUUUCAACUGAUUGGACAAAGUCUAUGUGCAUUAUUGAGGGAUUUCCUCAGUCUGUCAAUUUAAAUGUUAAUUUUAUCUUGAAUAACCCUCCCAGAAAUACCUAAAAUAAUGUUUGGUCAAUAAUGUCCAGCCAAGUUUGACAAAGAGUUACCCAUCACAUAAAAUGGGUAAUUCUUAUUUAUUUAUUUAUUUUGGUAUGAGGGAUUGAACCUAGGGGCCCUCAACCAUUGAGCCGUAUCCCCAGCCCUUUUUUGUAUUUUAUUUAGAACCUGGGUCUCAUUGAGUUGCUUAGAGCCUUACUAAAUUGCUGAGGCUGGCUUUGAAUUUGUCCUCCUGCCUCAGCCUCCCAAGUCGCUGGGAUUACAAAUGUACACCACUGUGCUUGGCAGUAAUUCUUAUUUAUUUAUUUAUUUUUUGCUGGGGGUGGGCAGGGGAAUUGAACCCAGGGCCUUGUGCUUAUGAGACAAGCACUCUACCAACUGAACUAUACUCCCAGCCCCAGCAAUUCUUAUUUUAAAAAAUUACUUUGUGACCUUUUCCUUUUAUUAUCAAAUAUAAAAAUAUCAAGGAGCAUUUAAAAAAUGUGGAUGAACAAAAUCGAAUUUUAUUGAUAGUCACAAAAGAUAUGGUUGAGCCUGUCUAGGUUUUACAAAUGAAAAAUUUAAGAUGAAUUUUGGAAGAUGAGCUUCAUUGGGAGAGGGUAGUUAUGAUAGUUGUCCCAUAUCAAUUCAUCAUUUUCAUCUCCUAAAAGUUAACUUACCAACCAUAAUACUUGAAGUAUAUUUGUAUUUGUUAAAAAUAAAGCCGGGUGUGGUGGCCACUCCUGUAAUCCCAGCAGCUCAGGAGGCUGAGACAGGAGAUUGUGAGUUCAAAGCCAGCCUCAGCAAUGACGAGGCGUUAAGCAACUCAGUGAGACCCUGUCUCUAAAUAAAAUACAAAAUAGGGCUGUGGAUGUUGCUCAGUGGUUGAAUGCCCCUGAGUUGAAUUCCCAGUAUCAAAAAUAAAAUAAAGCACUCUCCUACACUUUAGGGGGACAAAAAAUCAGGCAUGUAUUAUUUUUUUUUCAAUUGGCAAAAUUUCACUGGCCACGAUUAUAUUGCUUCAGUCAAGGCAAGAAAGCUCUUCCUGUUAUACAAUACAUUUGUUCUAGGGCUUAUAGGACCUCGAAUUACCCAUUCAUUUAAAUUGAUUUUGGUUUGCUUUGGUAUUCUAGUGAAAUAAAAUCAAGGUAUAAAGUAGGAAUGCAUAAGAAUCUAAGUUGAGAAGUUUCAUGAAUAAUUGGAUAACUUUUUUCAAGUUAGUUUCCUGUUGCAGACAAUGACUUAGAUCUCCAAAAUAGUUACAAAGCUGAGUCCUUUAUAAAGGAUUUAUUGGGUGUAUUUGCUUCUAUUGAAACCUUGGUAAAAAACAAAAUCACUUUAUUACCUCUUUCUGUAUUCUUUUUUUUUAAUAUUUAUUUUUCAGUUUUCGGUGGACACAACAUCUUUAUUUUAUUUUUAUGUGGUGCUGAGGAUCAAACCCAGCGCCCCGCUCAUGCCAGGCGAGAGCGUUACCGCACAUCCCCAGCCCUUUCUGUAUUCUUAAUAGUCUUUAUUUUUUAAAUUCAGUUCUAUUGGAAAUUAUUUUCUUUUGCCUUCCUUUAAAUGCUGAUCUAAAAUAUUUUAAGAAGCAAGUGAACCUGUCAAGUAAUAUAGCUAUCUGGAAAUUUUUGCCCUCAACUAUUACAGUUUUUGCAAUGUAAUGUAAGUAGUGUUAUGGUAAUAUUCUAGAAGUUUAAAUCAUUGCAAUUAUUAACAGUCUUAAAGCAUUAUUUUUGAGAUAUUUUAAAAUAUGCCUUGCCCCAGCAACACUGUGGUUAUAAUAAAUGUUUAAUAAUUCAAAUCCUUAUUUUUGAAAAGUGUAUCAUAAAUGAAUACAAUUACAAGACCUUCAUCACACAUAAAUACAGAACUUGUUUUAUACUUAAAUUGUAUUUUAAUUUUAGCUGGGUAGUUAAGAUUUCAGGCUUUUUUUAAAAAAAAGUUACGUUUAGUUGUCUGGACUCAGGUAACAAAGUACAUCUAAACCAUAGCAUCCUGUCCACAUUUACAGUAUUUUCCUUUUAGCUGCUUUACUUGCCUUUAUAGCAUGUGUGAUAUUUUGUAUUCAUUUGUUUUUGGUGUUCACUAGAACAUAAGUACCAUGAGAGCAGAGCCUUUGUUUCUUGCUUUAUCACCAGUGUGUAAAAUGAAGUAGUUCAUAAAUGAUUGGGGGUUAAUUAAUGUGCAAGUGUUUAAGAGAGAAUAGGGAUAAAGAAAGAUAAUGGGAUCACUAUGUAUCUGGAAAAUCUUUAAUGUCUCACUAAGUUGAAUUUUGGGUAAUUGGAAGUCACUGAUGGUUUUUAUAAUAAUGAAGUGGAAUGAUGAAAGUCAUGUUUUAGGUGAGUACGGUUGUAAAAUUCAGAAUAGAUUGCAUUGUGGCAGACACCAAAGACAAGGAUUAUUAUAGGAUACCAUGCUUUCCUGAUGUUCCUGUUACCAAAUUUGCUUCUCCUUCUUGGCAGAUAAUGAGGUUAUCUUGUACCAUCAUAUAUUUGGAGAUUGUGUUGUCCUGCAGGUUAUGAGAGUAGUGUUCCCAUGUUACACUGCCUUUUUCCUAAAUCCUGUGUUGGUUCUUCUCUGUAUCUCUUCCUGCCUACCAUCUUCUCCCCAGCUGUAGUCCUGUGGAAAAGGAAUUGUAACACCUCAGCAUACUUCCUUUAGGAAAGUGAGAGAUUGUUGUUUUUUUGUUUAUUUUUGUUUAUAUUUGUUUUUAUAUAUCUCUCCUCUCGGCUUAUCUAUAUUUUUCAGUGGCUAUCUUCCUCUAUAGGGACAGGCUCUUUUCAGUAUGCCAACUCACACAUGCAUAGCUCUCUCUGGUUUAUGAUAAUCUGUCUCUCCCCUGACUUCUUCAGAUUUGGGGGUGUAAAGGCUUCUUGCUCUGACUAUUCCCUAGCUGCUUCCAUAUUUUUAGUUGGUUUUCCUUAACCCAACCCUACCUUUGUAAUGGUCCCUUAGUUGAAUCACUUAGAUAUAUAUACUCCAGAAGUCUGAUGGUUUAAGCAGAAUGUAAGCACUCUUUUUCUUUCUGUGUCUGCUUUUCCACAGAAGUAUAGUAGAGACCAUGUAGCAAUAAAAAUCACUUUCAUAUUAUGUUGCUUGUUUUUUUGGUUUUGAAACUGAUAAAUGGUUAAAUUUGCCAUAUUAGAAAAACAGAAAAAAGGCAAGAGGGCAGAUAAAAGACACCUAGACUUGCCUUCUUUUCUACAAGAUAGAACUAGAGCAACAGGUGUGUGGCUAAAUGUCAAGGUAGAUGGCUGUGGGAGAGCACUGGAAUUCAACAGUGUAAAAAGCAGACAGUAGAACCCAGAGAUUUUGAAUAAUAGAAUCGCAAGUGAAACAGUGCCUAUUGAAUGGCAGCAUGGUCAGAGGAGGGGAAGGGUUGUAAGUGAAAGAGUGUCCCAUUGAAUUUCUGUAACAUAAAAUCUGACAUUGUGCAGACAAACGCAGUCUUAACAGACAAGAGACCUGGCACCCCAGUGAAUCCUCUGUAGAGGAACUUGUAUCAUCUCCCAGUGAACUUGUAUCAUCUUCCAGCACAGAUUUCUGGGUCUCCUUCGUCCCCACCUUCAGAGAUAUUCAGGACUGUGCUGCAGCACUGAGAAUUUGCUACACCCUGAGUGUGCAGCCUGAAACACUACCAAGUGCUCAUGGUGUACUAGCUCAUUUCAGCAUGUAAAGCUGGUGAGAGAGAUUUUCACCACAAAUCACUUACCUGGCAGACACUAUAACUGAAAGGAUUGGGGAGUGGGUGAAAAUCUUCUGGUCACUCUGUCCAUGGGAUACCUGGGAAGAAGCUUUAAGUAGUCGCUUAAUUGUAAAUAGGGGCUAUUUACAAUUGACAUAGUAUAAUCUGACUUGCUCCCUAUUUAAGCACCUUAGGGAAUUUUCAUUUUUGUGUAUUUUGUUCUUUUUGUUUUAAAUAUUUUUUGUUUUCCCUUUUUAUUUUUUAACUUUUGUUUUCUUUUUCCUUUUUUCCCCCUAUUUUUUUCUCUUGUUCUUAUUGGUGCUAUUAUUCAUAUUUAUUUUAUAUUUUUGGCUAUUUUUAUUUUUAUUUUUUGCAGUACAGGGAAUUGAGCCUGGGACCUCGUGCACAUUGGGUAGGUGCUCUAUCACUGGAACUAUACUCCCAGCCCAGCUGAGGAAUUGAACCCAACUCUAGCCACAAUUGAACCCAACUCUAGCCACAAUCUUGGUGGAUACUACAACUUAAAAAGAAUAUAAGGGCCAAAAGCUCCUGGCCAAUGACCUGCCUUCAAGUGGAGGUCUGAAGUCCCCUUCCUGGAUGGACAUUCCCAUAGUAACAGCAGAGAGGAAUAGUACACACGAUGUGGACACCACACCUACAGACCUCUGUAUGGGUCACACCCAUAUAUCAGAUUGUGCAUUCCUGGCAAGACUGAAUGUGAGUGCCACAGCGGGGAAGCUGUGAUCUUCGACCCUGACUCUCCCCAUGAAAUGGAGGAACUUCAGGCCCUUCACCAUAACUGGAGUAAUCAACCUCAGAAUUGCUUUUGUGUAAUAGAGCCAAUAUCAACAGUGCCUAUAGAAACUUCCACCACCUAGUAGGGGUUUCCAGAGGGUGUACCUCCAUGUCUCCACUUACUCUGCUGCCUACACUAAACAUGCCUGAAUUAUGAGAGGGUUCCCACUCUUGUGAGACUUGCCCAGAUAGUAGAUACCUCAGACUUCAGUAUGGCAUGCACUGUGUCCAGACCCACUAAUCAUAGCCCAAGAAGCCACAGAGAGAUUGCAUUAUUGAAUUGGAGGUAAACUCAACAUUAUACAAUAAUUUGACACCACAGGGCAUAUCAAUUGGAAGCCACUAAGAAGAACAUCACAUAAAAGUGGAAGAGAGUCCAAUUCAAUAGAUUGGUAAAUCUCAACCUAGAAACAUGAAAUAUGAUGCAACGUAAUAGAACACCUCCAAAAGUUCAUAACUCUUUAGUAACUGAUUCCAAAGAUAUCAAAGUGGAUGAAAUGCCACACAAAGAAUCUUUCAGGAGAACAAUGUUAAAAGCAGUAUGUGAUAAAAGGAUAAACAGCUGGAUGAAUUAACAAAACAAUUCAAGAAAGAUCUGAAAAGUUCAAUGUCAGAAAAUUCACUUGGAAGUCUCACUAUUAGAAUGGAUAAAAUAGAAGAAAGAAUAACAUAUAAAGAUGAAACUUUUGAAAUAUUAGUAGAGAAAGAAAAUUGAGUAGGUAUGACGUUGCCAUACAAGAGAUUUGGGACAACAUCACAAGACAAAAUAUCUGGCUCAUUGGCAUACCCGAGAGAGAAGAGCUACAGGUUGGGGGCAUUAAACAAAACCUAUUUAAUGAGCUGGGCGCCUUGGCGCAUGCCUGUAAUCGCAGCAACUCGGGAGGCUGAGACAGGAGGAUCAUGAGUUCAAAGCCAACCUCAGCAAAAGCAAGGCGGUAAGCAACUCACUGAGACCCUGUCCCUAAGUAAAAUACAAAAUAGGGCUGGGGAUGUGACUUAGUGGCCAAAUGCCCCUGAGUUCAAUCCCCAGUAUCCAAGGGGGGAAAAAAAAAACCUAUUUCCCAGAUCUUGCAAAAGACAUGGGCAUCUAUAUACACGAUGCAUAUAGAACCCCAAAGAGAUAUGUUGUGAAAGGAACUUUUCCAUGAUACAUUGUAGUUAAAUUGUCAAACAUACUUCAUCAAGAAAACAAUAUUAAACGUGGCAAGAGAGAAGUGUCAAGGUACAUUUAAAGGCAGACGCAUUAGACUAACUGAAUAUUUCUCAGAAGGAACUCUAUUAAAGGACAGGAGGGCAUGGAUCCAUGUAUUUGAAGUCACGAAAGACAAAAAAAAAAUGAGCCAGCCAAGAGUACUGUGUUCACCAAGGCUAUCUUUUAGAAUUGACAGAGAAGUAAAGACCUUCCAAGAUAACCAUGAAGAAAGGGAAUUCUUGACUACUGGACCAAAUUACAAAACAUAAUUAAGGCAAGCCCACAAGAAGAGGAAGAAAAAUUAUAGGAACAUGUAAAAGAAUAAGUCUAACUAGAAGAGAAUAGAUAUGCAAAUGAGAAAUAAGAAAGCAUCAAACAUUAUCGUCAUUAACCAUUAAGUGUGUAAGAUGAAUGAGAUGAAAGAAUGAACAGAAUAUUUAAAACAACCAGAAGAUAAACAAACACUAUUAGAGAUAGAUUCCAAAACAGUAAUAAUGGGUGACUUCAGUACCCUACUCUCAUCAAUGGAUGGGUCAUCCAGGAAAAAAAAUCAAAGAAAUAUCAGUUAGAUUAUAUUUCUGAUUAAAUGGACAUUGUAGACAUCUAUAGAAUAUUCUACCCAACAGCUGCAGGAUGCAUAGUUAUUUUCAUCAAUGUAUGAGUCUUUCUCAAAUAGACCAUAUAUUAAGUCACAAAACUAGUCUUAACCAAUUCAAAACAAUUGAAUUAGUGAUGUAGCUGAAUACAAAAUCAACUUAGGAAAAUCAGAUUUUCUGAACAUUAAUGAGCUCAUUGAGAAAUUAGGAAAAUAAUCUUACUACAGACAAAACAAACCUGGAAAGAAACUGAAGAAGCCAUUACAAGGUGGAAAGACAGACCCUCCCCCAUGUUUGUGUACUGGGAGAAUUGGUGUUAAAUGGCCACACUAGUCAACCUUUGGUGUGGCCCUUUUCUUUCUUUUUUUCUGGGGCAGGGGAGCCUGGGGAUUGAACUUAGGGGCACUCAACCACUGAGCCACAUCCACAGCCCUAUUUUGUAUUUUCUUUAGAGACAGGGUCUCAUGAAUUACUUAGUGUCUCAUUUUUGCUGAGGCUGGCAUUAAACUCUCAGUCCUCCUGUUUUAGCCUCCCAAACAACUGGUAUUACAGGCAUGAACCACUGUGCCUGGCUGCACUUAUGGUUUUCUAUGUGUAGAAUCAUCAACAAACAAGGAUAAUUUGACUUCCUUAAUUUUUUAACAAUUUUUUUCCUUUAGUUGUCAAUUGACCUUUAUUUAUAUGCGAUGCUGAGAAUCAAACCCAGUGCUUUACACAUGCUUGUAAGCACUCUACCACAGAGCCACAAUCCUAGCCCUUCCUUUAUUAUUUGUAUUUUUUUUAAAGUAUUUUUAGUUGUCAAUAGACACAAUAUCUUUAUUUUUUUAUGUGGUGCUGAGGAUCAAACAUGCUUCACAUGUGCUAGGUAAGCACUCUACCACUGAGCUACAACCCCAGUCCUAUUUGUAUGUUUUUAUUUCUUGCCUAAUUGCUCUGGCUAAAUGUUAAGUACUGCUUUUAAUAAGAGUGCUGAGUAAGCAACUAUGUCUCAUUCUCGAAUUUAGAGGAAAUUAUUUCAGUAUUUUCCAAUUCAAUGUUUUCAUAUAUAUUUAUUUUGUCAUAUAUAGCCUUUGCCCUGUCUCAGGAAACUACUGAAGGUGAGUACUCAUUCAAAAUGAGAAUAAGCCAAGAUAACUUGUAACUUUGAAGACUGAAAUGAAAUGUAGUUUAAGUGAAAGAAAAAGGCAAGAGAAUGGAAACUAUAAGUAAAGAGGAAAGGAAAUGCAUACUCUGAGUUUAGAUAGGUUGGAGAAUUGGAUAAUAUCCUGUUUCUUAACAUCCUCAGUAAAGGGAUUAAUAGAUAUAGUUGUAAAUUAUACAGUAUCAAAGCAAUGGUUUCCUGAAAGACCUUUUGAAAAUGUUAUGAAAAGGAUCCUUUGCAAUAGAUACAUGUUUCAAUUGAAGAUUUCUUACAGUCUUCUUCUGUUACUAUAACAAAAUGUCUGAGAUAAUAAACUUCUAUUUUUGGCUUACAGUUGUAAUGCUCCUGGUUGGUUUGCUCAACAAACACAUCAUGGUGGCGAACAUAUGACAGCAGAGAUGGGCUACAGUCUCCAGCUGUGAGACCUAGACUAAGGGCUGGGUUCCCGUUUUGCUCAUGUAAAACGAGGCUCCAUGAUAAAAUUGAAGAUUACUUCCAAUUUGUAGUUCUAUGCUUUUUAGUGGUGUUUAAUAACAGUAUUAAAAUUGACAAAAUUUAAGCCUUAAGCCUUGUUUUUUAAUGCAAGGAAACAUGAUAAAAUGUUAAGUAACAAAAACAACACACAUGUACACAUUGUAUUUAAAAGAUGGUCUCUCAACUUUAUUUUUUAAAAAAAAGUGAAAAUGAAAAGAUACCCAUAAUGGGACUCUAUGAGCUUAUUGAUAACUCCCCUGCCCUUCCAGUUUUCCUUAAUUUAUUAUUUUGCCUUUCACCUAUUUGGUUGUAGAAAAAUUUAAAGAAAAAGAAUAUCUAUGAUAAUCCAUAAACAUGACCAAAUUAAAGUUAUGUUAAUUUUAUCAUAUGUUGAUGGCAUCAUGUGGUCACUGUAUGAGGCAAAUCUUUUGGUGAGGGAGGGGUGGUGCUGGAGAUUGAAUUUGGGCAGUCAACUCCUGAGCCACAUCCCAACCCUAUUUUGUGUAUUUUAUUUAGAGACAGGGUCUCACUGAGUUGCUUAGUGUCUGGCUGUUGCUGAGGCUGGCUUAGAACUCAUGAGCCUCUUGACUCUGCUUCCUUAGCUACUAGGAUUACCGGUGUGCACUGCUGCAUCCAGCUGAGGCAAAGCUUUUUUAAGUUUUCUGUAUUACUAUAAGCCAUCGUCAUUUUUUUCCUUAUGCAUGACAAUAGAAUGUAUUAUUUUGACAUACAUUUAUGGAUGUUAUGGUUUUUGAGGUGUACCCCAAAAGCUCAUGUGUGGGCAAUGCAAGAAGGUUCAGAGAAGAAAUGAUUGGGUUAUGAGAGCCUUGACCCAACAGUGAAUUAAUCACCAAUGGGGCACCCUUCAUGCACUAGGAAGUUUAUUCAGAAGUGUUCAGGCUGCUGCAGCCAGGGUCCCUGGGGCCAUGGCUACCGCUCCAGAUGGCAGCAGACCAUGGUGUCAAACAUGUGGUGCUGGUUCUGCAGGAAAGCAGGAUGCUGGAGUUAGUGGGUUAUGGAGGCUUCCACCAAGAUUUCAAAGGAUGGCCUGGAAAGCCAGGCAAAGUGCAGCAGGGUUGGAGUCUCUGUGGGCAGCCCCCAAGAGGGUUAGGCAUGGAGAUGUGUGGAGGAAGCCAAAGCUCUGAUGGAGACCCCUGAAGAUUAAGAAAUGCCAGUAACGUGGAGCAUCAUCCUAGGAAAGCUGCAGGAUCAAGAAGACAAUCAGGCCAUUUGGGCUGCAACCAACAAAGCCAGAGGGGUAAUCUAUACAAGUUCUUUGGAGAGGACAUCAUAUCAUAUGCUCCAGAUGCCAGACAGAACUAUAGGACUUGUUUGACCAGCUGGAUUUCAGCCUGGCUUUGGUCCCUUCCUUUCUCUCUAUGCCUCUGUUUUUCUAAAUGUUUUCGAAGGCCUCUGUUUUUCUAAAUGUUUUCUAAGUGUUUAGUUUGUACCUUUAUGUUUUCUAAGUGUUUAUUUUGUACCUUUAUAUAUUGGAAACUUGUAAAUAGCUUGAUUUUUACAGGAACUCAUGAUGCAAGUUUGCCUUGAGUCUGAAAGGAAACUUUGGACUUGAACUCUGAGCAGUCUUGGAACUGCUGAGACUGUGGGGACUCUUGGGGAUAGACUAAAUGUAUUUUGCUUUGUCAGAUGAGUGUGAGCUUUUGGGGACGGGGUGGAAUGUUAUAGUUUGGAUGUGAGGUGUACCCCAAAAGCUCAUGCGAGACACUUCUAAAAGGUUUAGAGAGGAAAUGAUUAGGUUGUGAGAAUCUUAACCCAAUCAGUGAAUUAAUCACCUGAUGGGAUUGAGUGGUAACUGAAGGCAGGUGGGUGUGGCAAGAUGAAGUAGUGGGGGUCUCUCUCUGCUUCCUCCUGAUCAUGUGAGCUGCCUCCCUCCUCCACACUCUUCUUCCAUGAUGUUCAGCUUCACCUGUAGUCCUGAGGAAUGGAGCUGUCUGCAUAUGGACUGAGAACUCAAACUGGAGCCCUCAAAUAAACCUUUCCUCCUCCACAAUUAUUCUGUUUGGGUCUUUUAGUCACAGCAGUAAAAAAAGCUGACUAAAACAAUAGAGUAUAACUUUGCCUUCUUUUAGAAAAGAGUCCCCACAGUCUCAACAGUUCCAAGAUUGCUCAAAGUUCAAGUCCAAAGUCUCCUCUGAGACUCAGGGCAAACUUGCAUCCUGAGUGCCUAUAAAAAUCAAUUCUUUAAAGAAUCAGCAUAAAUCCAAAAGACUUCUAUUAAGGGGAGGAAGGAAACAUUAAAAGAACAACCUGGAUCGGGUACUAAUUAUUUUACAUGGUUAUCUCACAUAGAUAUUAAAGAACUUUUAGGAGAUUAUCCUAUUCUGUUUGACAAAGAUCUUCAAGAUAAAUGACUUUUUCUUUUCUCUAAAAGUUUACAUACCUUGGCUGGAUGUGGUGUUGCACACUUGUAUUCCUAGCAUUCCAGAGGAUAGGUCAGGAGUAUCAGAAAAGUGCAAGGCCAACAUUAACAACUUAGCAAGAUCUUGUCUAUAAAUUUAAAAAGGGAGCAGUGGAUGUGAAGUGCCCUUAGGAUCAAUCCCUAGUACCAAAACAAAUAAAAGGUGACAUUCAGAUGAAUAUGUAUGUCAUGAUCCUGCUUACAUUAACAAAAAAGAAAACCCUUAUGUCUAGAAAAAUUCUGGGAAGCUACAUAAAAGUAUUUACAGUAGUAACUAAUAAAUGUUGAAGAUUCGGGAUAAAAAUAUUUAUUUUAUAUUUUUUCAUAUUUAAAAAAUAGAACAGGGGCUGGGGUUGUAUCUCAGCAGCAGAGCGCUAGCCUAGCACGUGUGAGGCCCUGGGUUCGAUCCUCAGCACCACAUAAAAAUAAAUAAAUAUAGUGUCCAACUAAAAGCUAAAUAUUUAAAAAAAAUUAAAAAAGAACAGGUAUUAGCCUAAUGUGUAUAUGACUUUCAGGAGAAGAAAAGGAGGCUUUGAAGAUCUAAAAGAACCAGUAUUUUUCUUAUAAUUUGCUUUAUUUAUCUGUGAAGAAAACAGUAGUGUGCAAGAGGGCAGUUUUCUCAGUAUAGGUAGCCUCAUAAGGUUUUCUCUUAAUGAGAAAGAACAUCUUUUAAGUUGUAUUUGCUUUUUGUAUCUAGUAUACCUUAUUUUUUCUGUUUUUAUUUUAGUUGCAGAUGGACACAAUACUUUUAUUUUUAUGUGAUGCUAAGGAUUGAACCCAGUGCCUCAUAUUCUGGGCAAGCACUGUACCACUGAGCUACAACUGCAGCCCCUACUGUACCAUUGUUUUGACAUUGCACAGAUAAUGCAAUUUCAAUGAUUCAGUUUUGUUGUGCAAUGUAAGAUUUUUUCAUUUAUUACUGUUUUAAAAUAUAAAAAAUGUGUUUUGCAUCUGAAUAAAAUGCCCUGAAAUAUAAGAGAUCUGGAUUUCUACAUGGUACUGUAUCUUAAAGACGACUCAAAAGCACAAAGAUAACCCAAAUAUAGAGAAGGUUGUAUGACCUAAUAUAUGAUCUUUAUGGGAUUUGGUUCAAAUGAAAUGAUAGUACUACAUAGACCAAGAAGAGAGGGCUUGGCCCUGGGCUUCAAAGGGACUUGCAAACAUGCCUGCACACCCCCCUCCCCCCCCCCCCACGCAUACAUACAAAAUUAUUAGCACAUGACACCUGUAUCUCAAGAUUUCAUGCUCCCAGGGGUGGGGAGGUAGCUCUGUUGGUUAGAGUGCUUGCCUCCAAUGCACAAGGCCCUGGGUUCAAUCCCCUGCACUGCAAAACAAAACAAACAAAUGACUUGGUGCACCCAGGUAACAGUUCAGAUAGCAGAAAAGUGCUUCACCACAUUCUGGAAGUUUUGUGAGUUGCACUGGUAUUACAGAGUUAAACAUGAUGUGGGAGAAUUGAGAGGGGUUGAGUGGAAGAAACACUUGGG